AAAGAUAUUUACGCCAUCUCCACCCUCCAUUCUUAUGCAUCAAGAUCAAUGGACGGUGUGCAGCAUAUCAGAUGACAAUAGGAGAAAAGUCUUGAUCAGCAAUUGCAAUCUGUAUGCGACAUCAGUUUUCCUUAGUUUCCAAGCUUUUCUAUAUUAUAUAAAGUAUUUUUGGUAAUAUUCUAUAGUAUAUAAUGCAAGAUUUCAAUUCUCAUCUUCUUCAUAUGGUACUAGUUCCAAUACGAAGAACUUUGUUGUUAUUAAGCAGAACAAUUUUCUUCGAGCUGCAAUAAUUUCUUUUAUCCAAGGAGUAGUUUUGCCUCAUCGUCAAUAUUGUAACUCCAAAUAUUUCAGAAGCUUUAUAUUAACUAAAACAAUUUCCACCAAACAGCAUCGAUCUUUGGCAAUCCAAAGCGAAAAUGGAGAGCUAAUAUCUUUCUCUUUUCUGUUUAGGAAGAAUGUCUAGUGUUGAUAAAUAUUUAGGGGCAAAGCCAUUUUCUGCUGCAUACAAGGAGAAGUUUCAUGGAAGCAUAUGAUUUAGAUUGAUAAAAUAUUUACUUGAAUUUGGAAUUAGUUUGAAGACUGACAAAUUUGCGCUCCUUACUUGUUUUGCAUUUGGUGUUCUGCAGACUCUUUCACGGAAAUUUGAGAAAGAAUUUGUGCAAGACUCUGAAAGAGUAAAAUCAGUGGAUUUUCAUCCAACUGAGCCAUGGAUUCUGGCAAGUUUGUACUCAGGAACUGUCUGCAUCUGGGACUACCAGACAAAAUGUUUCAAUAUUUAGACAUAUUGCUAAAUUUAUUAUACUAUUUCAGACAUUGGAGAGAUCUUUCAAGCUAACCGAAUGACCUGUCAGACCAGCAAAGUUCGUAGCAAGCAAACACUGGAUUGUUGCUGGAGCUGAUGACAAAUUUAUAAGGGCCUAUAACUAUGAUACAAUGGCAAAGAUAGUAGAAUUUGAAGCACGCGACGAUUUCAUUAGGUCUGUGGCUGUUCAUCCCACUCUUCCAUAUCUGCUGUCAGCAUCUGAUAACAAGGUUGUAAAGCUUUGGGAUUGGGGAAAAGAUUGGAUAUGCACUCAGAUCCUUGAGGGACAUUCCCAUUAUAUGAUGCAAGUGUCAUUCAAUCCAAAAGAGAUGAGUACUUUUGCCACUGCUUCGCUUGAUGUCACUAUUAAGGUGUAUAUAUACAUUAAUUGCAGAACAUUUGGUAACCAUUUUAUUUAAAUUUUGUUCUUUUUGAAAUUUAUACUUUUGCAAUGCCUCAUUGGAAAUAUAUGGAACAUUGGCUCUCCUGCUUCAACUUUUACAUUAGAAGGUCAUGCACAAGGAGUGAAUGGUGUUGAUUACUUCGUUUGUGGCAAUAAAACUUUUUUACUUGGUGACUCUGAUGAUUAUACUAAGGUUGGCAAGCAUAUCAGCAGGUCUUUUCCAUCUAUGCAUACGUCUAAUAGUACAUUCAGAAAUAUUUAUCUUAUGGAAGUUGCAUGUAUGGGACUAUCAAACCAAAAGCUGUGUGCAGACGCUAGAAUGUCAUGUGAACAAUGUUACAGCAGUUUGUUUUCAUCCAGAGCUUCCCAUAAUAAUUACAGCUUCUGAAGAUGGGACUAUUCGCAUAUGGCAUGCCAGCGCACAUAGGCUAGAGAGCUCAUUGAACUUUGCUUCUGAAAAAGUUUGGGGUAUUGGAUACAUGAAAGGAUCAAACCACGUUGUGUUUGGUUGUGACAUUGGAACCAUUAUGGUCAAAAUGAAUGGUUCUUGUGGUUAAGAUUCUCUCUAUCUUCAACCAGAGGAGGAAGUUAUAUAUAAAAAAGGAAUAAUUCAAGAGCAUGGUUGAACAAGAAUAAAGAUUCUAUUUUUUAGGGUUUUAAAAAUAACAUUUCUUAUAUUAAUUGGUCUUCAGAAAACCCGAAACUAGUUUUCUAGGUAAUGGCCAGUAAAGGUCUAAGCAGCUGCUGCUGUCCUACUUCUAGCAUUGUCUGCAGGGAAUUGUCAUGUUGAUCAGGUAAAGUUGAAGAACAGAAAGCAGAAAAUUUUUUUACUGUUACUUUUGUUGUUGCCAAUGCUGUUUCUUUUGUGUGAUAUGAAACAAGUACCAGACUGAGUAAGCCAAUAGAUGUGAAUAUAUGGUGUGAUUUAUGGUUACUCUUCAAUAAUAUUGAUUGUGAA